rnacentral:rRNA from 1 species
CUUGCCCCGAGAUGAGUUCUCCCUGAGACUUUAAGUCUCCUGAAGGAACGUUGAAGACGACGACGUUGAUAGGCCGGGUGUGUAAGCGCAGCGAUGCGUUGAGCUAACCGGUACUAAUGAACCGUGAGGCUUAACCUUA